rnacentral:lncRNA from 1 species
AAAUAAAAUAGUACUAUACAUCAAAAAAAGAAAAAAAGAAAAAAAGAAAAAAAGAAAAAAGGAAAAGAGGCCUGCAAGCGAGGGAUAUUGAAUGAUCAACGUUUGUUGCCGAAGUCACAAAAUCCGGCAAUAUGCUUGGCCUGGUUCCCCUGAAUUUUCAUAUUGUCAAAGGAGAAAACAACAUCGGAGUCGGAGUCGUCAUCCUGCUUGUCAGUGGAGCCCGCGGUCUUCUUGUUGCCGAAGUUAAAUACUCCAAAGGUUUUGCCUUCGUUGUCGCAGAUUUUGUUCCACCGAAAGUUGAAAGCUUUGGAUCCUUUUCCUUUGGGAUUAUUAGAAUUAGUGUUAGAAGCAGGCUCUGGAUCAUUUCUUUUGGUUACGGAAGUCUCUUCUGGAUUAGUUUUGGGAAGGCAGAAAAAAGUUGUCAUUAUGUGCUCUCAGUUUGGAGGUUAAUCGGAGGCUCAAAAUGAAGUACAGAGGUUGAUAAUUUG